UUUUUUUUUUUUUUUUUUUUUUUGCUUUUUAGAGGUGCACUGUAACAUAUGGAAGUUUCCAGGCUAGAGGCUGAAUCAGAGCCACAGCUGCCAGCCUAUGUCACAACCACAGCAAUGUGGGAUGCAGGCUGAAUCUGUGACCUACACCACAGCUUGAAGUAAUGCCAGAUCCUUAACCCACUGAGCAAGGCCAAGGAUUGAACCCACAUCCUCAUGGAUACUAGUCAGGUUCUUUACACUGAGCCACAAUGGGAACUCCCCCACAUACUUUUGAUGUUCCAUGAACUUGUCACUGAUCCUCAAAAAGUUAGCCAGCUCAUUAUUUGCACUACAUUUUGUAAUUAUUCAUUCAAGUUUUUAAGAAGGUAUGAUCAUCAUUUCUCAAACAUAGAUUUGUGCUAAUAAUCAGAAUUUUGCAUUUUUAUGACUUAAUUUCUCUUUUGAAUACCUGUGUCUGUGGGAAGUGGGUGAAACUGGUACCCUAACCCUCCAUCACCUGUCUCCCCUCCUCUGGUAUUGCUCUCAGGAGUGUCAGCAUAGCAAAGGGCAGUUGAAGGAGGGGCUGCUUCUGUGUUGUCUCUACUGUCCACUGAAAUGAAUAUGACCUGAGAUAUUGGAUUUUUAAUUGUUUGUUAUUUUUAAAUGCUUGCAUAUCAUUCUUUUCUCCUUUUGAAGUUAAAUUACUGAAAUACCUCUGUGAGAUCUCUGCAUGCCCAUGUUCCCUGUGGGAUUACUCACAGCAGUCAAGAUACAGAAACAACCUAAGUGUCUAUUAACAAAUGAAUUUUAGAAUAAAGAAAAUGUGAUAUAUAUAUGUUCAACAGAAUACUAUUCAACCUUUAAAAAGAAGCAAAUUCUGGAGUUCCCAUUGUGGUUCAGUGGGUUAAGAACCCAUCUAGUAUCCAUGAGAAUGCAGGUUUGAUCCCUGGCCUUGCUCAGUGGGUUAAGGAUCUGGUGUUGCUGUGAGCUAUGCUGGAGGUCACAGAUGUGGUUUGGAUCCCUCAUUGCUGUGGUUGUGAUGUAGGCCAGCAGCUGCAGAUCUGAUUCAACCCCUAGCCUGGAAAAUUCCAUAUGCAACAGAUGUCGCCUUAAAAAGAAAAAAAAAGAGUUACUGUGGUGGCUCAGUGGUAACAAGGCCUACUAGUAUCCAUGAGGCCACUGGUUUGUUCCCUGGCCUUGCUCAGGGGGUUAAGGAUCUGGUGUUUCCCUGAGCCGUGGUGUAGGUGACAGAUGUGGCUUGGAUGUGGUAUUGAUGUGGUUGUGGUGUAUGUAGGCUGACCAGCUGCAGCCUGAUUCUACCCCUAGCCUGGGAACUUCCAUAUGCCUUGGUUGCGGCCCUAAAAAAAAUAAGAUGGAAGGAAGAAAGAAAGGAAGAAAGAGGAAGAGACAUCAGGGCCCCUGUUUCAGGGUUUAAGGCAUGUGAGGAUGCACUGAGAAGGCUGAUAUCUAUCUGCUGGCCAUCUGUCUAUAUGUCAAGGAGAGAGGUCUGUGGAGAAAUCUAAUCUGCAGACACCUUGAUCUUAUACUUCCUAUCUUCAAAACUGCAAGAAUGAAUUUCUGUUGUUUAAGACACCUAGUCUGUGGUAUUUUGCUGUGGCAACCCUAAGAAACUAAUACCCAACAACCACUUUGCACUUAUACCUGUUACUAAUCUAGUACUUGUCUCAAUUUACUCUUAAGCAUAAGAGCUCCCUAUUAUCAGUAGUUUGAAGAGCUAGUCAUAUUCUCAAUUUAAAGCAAGGAAAGGAGUCAUUUAUCAUCUUUCCAAGAUGGUGAAAGAAUAGUGAUGGUACCUGGUGAUUCCUUGCAUUUUAGACAGUAGGCUGUGGGUACAUAUGUUGUGUUGUGCAAAUGCUUCAAUACACUAGAGUUUGUUCAAGCUGGUCAGCUCUUCUGUCAAUAGAGAUCACCACAGGGUAUAGAUUAUAUAGAUUAUAUCAAAUUCAGAAAUGCUGCUGUUGAUUCUGUAUCAGCCACUUGAAAGGACAGUGAGCAAAAAGUGAAUUCCUGGUGCCAAGACCACAUGGAAUGCCUUUCCUUGGGAAAACAGAAGAAUAUUAUCAUAAUUAAAAUAGGUGCAGAGUUUUAGGUAGGAAAAACAUCUAAGGAAAAAGAGAAAGCGGGCAUGACUUUCCAUUAUUGAUUUUUAUCACUUUAAAAAGGAAGAAAAGGAGUUUUCUUGUGCAGUGGGUUAAGGAUCUGGCAUUGUCACUGCUAUGGCUUGGGCCAUUGCUGUGGCACAGGUUCAAUACCUGCACAGGUAUCAACCAAAAAAAAUAAUAAUAAAAAUAAAAAGAAAGAAAAGAAAAGAAAAAAGGAAGGAAAAACUAGAAUACAAUUAGCCUAUACUUAAAAUGAUUCUUUUACUCUCAGUUGAAAUAUGAACUAUUUAGUGUGUGGCUCAUGCAGAAGUGUGGUGUCAAAUGGGGGGAAUUAAAUUUGGGUCUGUACCACCACCAAACCCCCACCUUGCUGGCUCCACCAGAACAUCUGUCCUAACCACCUGCUUUUGCAUGAGACCUAGGAAAGUAACAUUAUUGGGACUCUCCCUAAUUAAACAUUAUCUCUUGUUGAUGGAAGAAGUUAGGACUGAGUUGCUGCAGUGCAGUUGGCAAUCCACACAACCAAUGUAUUGGGGUGGGACACUAGAUAUUUUCUCCUUACCAUUAUAUAUACAUUAUAUCAAUAUGUCUUGUAAUCCUCACCACCCCCAGGCAAAGCAGACUUACUAAGGAUGGCCAUUCUGACCAGCAUGAAGUGGUACCUCAGUGUAGUUUUUUUCAUUUCUCUAAUCAUUAGUGAUGUUGAACAUUUUUUCAUGUGCCUGUUGGCCAUCUGUAUAUCUUCUAUGGAGUAAAGUCUGUUCACGUCUUCUGCCCAUUUUUUCAUUGGGUUGUUGUUUGUAUAUUUUGGAGAUUAAGCCACUGUUGGUUGCAUCACUUUAAACAAUUUUCUUGACCCAGAGGGAAACCCACCAGAGACCGGAGGCCAGGAGGUGAAGAGUACUGAGUGUACCAGCAAAUGGAGCAGAAAGGGGCUCCCAUCCUUGGGUAGUCCUCCCACCCCAGCAGGACUGGCUCCCAAGGAACCCAAGCUAGUCCCUGUGCUUGGCUUCAAUCUGUCCCCUCCAGUGCACGCCCCCCUGCAUCCAUUUCCUCUGCUGCCCCUGAACCACCCCCCCAGAGCCAGAGCACUAUGUCCCCAAGCUUGGUGCCCCACUACACCUUGCCCCCAUCCCCCACCCCAGGGGUCAGGGAGAGGAGAACUGAAGGCAUGCGGGCCAGGAGCAGGAGAGGAGGCCCAUGAGUGGGC
rnacentral:lncRNA from 1 species